rnacentral:rRNA from 1 species
CACGUAGGGUGCGAGCGUUGCCCGGAAUUAUUGGGCGUAAAGAGCUCGUAGGCGGUGUGUCGCGUCGGCCGUGAAAACCUGCAGCUUAACUGUGGGCUUGCGGUCGAUACGGGCAUCACUGGAGUUCGGCAGGGGAGACUGGAAUUCCUGGUGUAGCGGUGAAAUGCGUAGAUAUCAUUUGGAACGCCAAUGGUGAAAACAGGUCGCUGGGGCUGUGCUGACGCUGAGACACGAAAGCCAGGGGAGCAAACGGG